CGCGCGGUGGAGCAGCUCGGUAGCUCGCUGGGCUCAUAACCCAGAGGUCGCAGGUUCAAAUCCCGCCCGCGCUA
rnacentral:tRNA from 1 species